GAUGCAAAGGAUCUACCCACCUGUACAGACUAGAAGCUCCUUCAAAUAUUUCUUUUCAGGCAAGAGUGGCUGGGGGAAGUAGGGCACAUGCUGCCUUUAAUCCAUUGAGCCUGACCUAGGCACUCGUUGAUGUCCCAAGGAAAUGUUCAAAGAAGGUAUAAAUGUGAUGGACCAGCAGUAGCCAUCUUGGAAACAUAAAGCAAGGAGCCAACAUGCUAAGAGAGAAUCCUCAACAAUACUACUUCCUCUACAGCCCGGAUGUAACCGCAACUGUCUUUAGCGUAAUAUACCCAGGCAUUAUGGGACUUUUCCCUGGGCCUCCAGAGAACGGAGGACUGGAACUCGGCCCCACCAGAAAUCAGACCAGACCAGAACCAGAAUUCGAGUUCUCUGCCAAGAGGAGGUGACCAGUCUCCAAUCCUCAGCUCAGGCUGAGGGCCCUUUGACCAGAUUCCUGCAUCCAGGACAGGGGGACUAGAAAAACAGGUCUGGCACAAAGAAGGUCCUUAAUAAUCAUUCAUUAAAGUUUUAUUUUGAAU
ensembl:lncRNA